rnacentral:rRNA from 1 species
UACAGAGGUCCCAAGCGUUGUUCGGAUUCACUGGGCGUAAAGCGUGUGCAGGCGGGGAACCAAGUGGUGUAUGAAAUUUCCCGGCUUAACCGGGAAGGGUUAUGCCAGACUGGUUUUCUGGAGUGCGAGAGAGGGGCGUGGAAUUCCGGGUGUAGUGGUGAAAUGCGUAGAGAUCCGGAGGAACCCCAGAGGCGAAGGCGGCGCCCUGGCUCGCAACUGACGCUCAGACACGACAGCAUGGGGAGCGAACGGG